CCUACGGGAGGCAGCAGUGGGGAAUAUUGGACAAUGGGGGCAACCCUGAUCCAGCAAUGCCGCGUGUGUGAAGAAGGUUUUCGGAUUGUAAAGCACUUUCGGCGGGGACGAUGAUGACGGUACCCGCAGAAGAAGCCCCGGCUAACUUCGUGCCAGCAGCCGCGGUAAUA
rnacentral:rRNA from 1 species